UGAUGGCCAAACUUGGCCCUCCAGCUGUUUUUGGUCUACAAUUCCCAUCAUCCUUGGUCCUGUUAGCUAGGGAUGAUGGGAGUUGUAGUCCAAAAACAGCUGGAGGGCCAAGUUUGGCCAUCA